rnacentral:rRNA from 1 species
UACGGGGGGUGCGAGCGUUGUCCGGAAUCACUGGGCGUAAAGGGCGCGUAGGUGGUUUGAUAAGGGUGUGGUGAAAGUCCGGAGCUCAACUCCGGAUCUGCCGUGCCGACUGUCAAACUCGAGGGCUGUAGAGGCAGACGGAAUUCCGGGUGUAGCGGUGGAAUGCGUAGAGAUCCGGAGGAAGACCGGUGGCGAAGGCGGUCUGCUGGGCAGCAACUGACGCUGAGGAGCGAAAGCGUGGGGAGCGAACAGG